rnacentral:rRNA from 1 species
AGAUGGCGACCGGCGCACGGGUGAGUAACACGUAUCCAACCUACCGAUAACUCUGGAAUAGCCUUUCGAAAGAAAGAUUAAUACCGGAUAGUAUACGAAUAUCGCAUGAUAUUUUUAUUAAAGAAUUUCGGUUAUCGAUGGGGAUGCGUUCCAUUAGUUUGUUGGCGGGGUAACGGCCCACCAAGACUACGAUGGAUAGGGGUUCUGAGAGGAAGGUCCCCCACAUUGGAACUGAGACACGGUCCAAACUCCUACGGGAGGCAGCAGUGAGGAAUAUUGGUCAAUGGGCGCAGGCCUGAACCAGCCAAGUAGCGUGAAGGAUGAAGGCUCUAUGGGUCGUAAACUUCUUUUAUAUGGGAAUAAAGUUUUCCACGUGUGGAAUUUUGUAUGUACCAUAUGAAUAAGGAUCGGCUAACUCCGUGCCAGCAGCCGCGGUAAUACGGAGGAUCCGAGCGUUAUCCGGAUUUAUUGGGUUUAAAGGGAGCGUAGGUGGAUUGUUAAGUCAGUUGUGAAAGUUUGCGGCUCAACCGUAAAAUUGCAGUUGAAACUGGCAGUCUUGAGUACAGUAGAGGUGGGCGGAAUUCGUGGUGUAGCGGUGAAAUGCUUAGAUAUCACGAAGAACUCCGAUUGCGAAGGCAGCUCACUAGACUGUUACUGACACUGAUGCUCG